ensembl:lncRNA
CUGGUUGGAGAUCUCUCCCUUCUGGAUUUUUCCUUGCGAGCGUAGAUCUUCGGAGCUGGAGAUGUUCAAAGCUUCCGGAUGACAGAGCCGGAGAGGCCUUUAUGCUGCACGGACUCAGUGACCACAAGCAGAGGUGAAUGUCUUCAUCUGUGCACCCUGAGCUCUCCUUGGGCACUCAGAUAAAGCAUCAGAGUGGCUCAGAUCAGGACAUGCAUGUCCCAUGGCUGGGGAGUUUUCUCCAGGUCUGAGGGAUGCUAACAGCAGCCUGCUUUGCUUUUCAACAAUAGCAAGCUGAGUUGGCUUGAAGACUCCCUGCUCUCCAUCUCCUGCAUCAUCAUAGCCCACGUGGUUGUUCCUGCUCCCAACUCAGAGCUGUGCAUUCCCUCCGAGGAAGGUCCCACAGGGUGAGCAGCGGAGGCCACUGUGAUGAGCAAGAACCACAGUUAACUCCAGGGCAAAAAAUAAUGGCCUUAACUGAUGGCUGCUACGUGGAGCCUGCCACUGGGUUUGCUGCUGCCCUUCCCGUUAUCUCAGGCUGCACGAUGCUUACCUUCAAGAAUUUGCUCAAUCCAAGAGAGCAAGGAAAAUGUUGUUUCACAGAUGCGUGACCCUUGCUCUGCAGGCAAGAGAACAUGUUGCUUCUCUGGUGCGUGCCCCUGCCAACCUGGGAAUGGGCUCAGUACAAGAUCCCCGUUCUGCAUCCCCUGUGUGCCUGCACGAGGCUUUAAAACCAGUGAGGUCCCUUCCCUGAGCCACUGGCAGGUCAAGUGUUCAGUCUGAUGGCUGUGCUGUUAAUCUGAGAUGUCAGUGGGGUAUGCAAGCACAAUCCUGUCUUGAUGCGUAGCAGUUUCAUCCUGGGUAGCCGUUGGGGAUUUUGAUUAGGCUAAAGGAGGUGUGCGAGAAGGGCUCCGUGUCAUUCCUUUAGGAAUCUGGGAAAAUUUCUGGGUUCUUCUGUAAUUUUCUGGAAGCCCUCUGGAAAUACAUUUGUAUAAUUAACAGAGGUGCACACAUGAAUACAAACAGAAGUCUUGUGCUUGCGAGCGCGCCGGUGCUCUAAAUGCAGACUAGUGAAAUAUAGCUCUUGCCAUAUUGAAUUCAUUCUCAGCUUCUCUUUUAUGUAAUGCAUUUCUCUCUUCUACAUAUCUCUGUGCUGUGACACUGCUGCUGUUUUGGUGGAUUGCUUCUUGUAAUCUUU